CCUACGGGAGGCAGCAGUAGGGAAUCUUCCACAAUGGGCGAAAGCCUGAUGGAGCAACGCCGCGUGGGUGAAGAAGGUCUUCGGAUCGUAAAACCCUGUUGUUAGAGAAGAAAGUGCGUGAGAGUAACUGUUCACGUUUCGACGGUAUCUAACCAGAAAGCCACGGCUAACUACGUGCCAGCAGCCUCGGUAAUACGUAGGGGGCAAGCGUUAACCGGAUUUAUUGGGCGUAAAGGGAACGCAGGCGGUCUUUUCAGGCUGAUGUGAAAGUCUUCGGCUUAACCGGAGUAGUGCAUUGGAAACUGGGAGACUUGAGUGCGGAAGAGGAGAGUGGAACUCGAUGUGUAGCGGUGAAAUGCGUAGAUAUAUGGAAGAACACCAGUUGCGAAAGCGGCUCUCUGGUCUGUAACUGACGCUGAGGUUCGAAAGCGUGGGUAGCGAACAGGAUUAGAUACCCUUGUAGUC
rnacentral:rRNA from 1 species